UUUUUUUAUGUGAUGAUAUGAACCUACUCAUAAGUGCAUAUUGAUGAUUCCGUGCUAUUGGAAUUGAUGCUUUGUGUUAGUAAUCACCAUCAUAUGCCUUUCCUGUCUAUCGGAAGAAAUCUUGGAAAGCCUCUGUCUUGAGUAAACAUGAGCUUGUCUCCGGUCUUCCUCGAGACGGUUGUGUCCGGUAUGGCAUAGUAAGGCAUGAUGAGUGGUGAUUCUGUUGGUUGAAAUAUAUUUGUUAUGCUAAUCAUACAUGGAACACUUAAACCUCUUGAGUCAGGCGUAGAUCGAGUCUUGUUCCAGUAACCCCCAUACUUGUUUCGUACUACCACUUGUCCCUGCUAUAGGUAGGGUACGGUUCAGUAAGUUGUCAACCCCUUUCUAGCACACACCGUACAGAGAGGCCAUGGUGGAAGAUACCGGCUGCAUCCGGUAGGCAUGCCACCUGGUCCGGGGGCAUGGGUGUUUUCGGUUGUAGCCGAGGGGGUAGCUCCCCUAGUUUGCGCGCGUUAUAAAUUUUGUGAUCCCAUGCUAAUCGAGGUUGUAGCCUCCCCACUUAGAGUUUUGCUUAACGAGUGUCGUGGGUGAUUCCAGACACCGAUAAGUCAGGCUGGUGUGUGCGGUCAGGUGUGUUUUCAAUUAAAAGACCGUAGACGGAAUUAGUCCCGGUGUACUAAAGGAAUCCAUUACUUGUGGGUAAAGACUACACCCUCUAUAGAGAUUAAAUCUAUUCGAAUAGCCAUGUCCAUGGUUAAGGACUACAGUCUGGGUUGGGUCAGUGUCGGUCUUAGUGUCGGUCUUCGGAGGAAAAACUACUAAACCAGAACAUGGAUCAUGACUUGUGACUUAUGAUGAUUAUGAUUAUUAUUAUUUUGGACUAACCAUUUAUGUUAUUUGAAUUAUUGAGUAUCCCUGGGACGGUUCUACCUCCUGGAUAUUCAUUAUGAUUAUUUUCUUAUAAGCCCUUUAUGUGGUGUCGCACAGCCGCCCGACUGUGGCAUGUUUGUUACUUAUUUCACUUAUAAGCCCUUUAUGUGGUGUCGCAGAAACGCCCGACUAUGGCAUGUUUGUUACUAAUUUCACUUAUAAGCCCUUUAUGUGGUGUCGCACAGACGCCCGACUGUGGCAUGUUUGUUACUUAUUUCACUUAUAAGCCCUUUAUGUGGUGUCGCUCAGACGCCCAACUGAGGCAUGCUUUAUGUUAUUGUCCUUUCGAGGCGUCGCUUCAGACACCCGAUCAGUGCAUUCUAUUUCUACUCUCUGAUUGCAUAGUCAUGUUUUAUAUGAAUAACUUGUUUACGUGCACCAUGGAUUUUAUUUUAUGACUGACGUUGUGGUCAUAGAAUAUUUCAGAGCAUGAAUAUCAUUUGUUAUAUUAUACCUGUGUUCAUAAUGUUUGCAAGUACAUUCAAAGUACUCACUGGCUUGUCCCAGGCUAUUGUCUUGGCCAGAUUUCCUGCAUGGAGAGGAGCGUUGCGAUGAUAGCCCCGGAACCUACGCACUGGUGAUAGCAGUCUCGCGAAGAUAGGAGUUAUCCAGGUCAGUUGUUCCUGUGGGAAAUGGAGCCCCACAGACGCUGAUGUACCACAAACCGCUUCCGCCAUCAACCAUUAGAAACCUUGUGUUGUACUCAUAGGCCAGAAUGGUCUUGUACUACAUAUUUUGUAAUUUUCUUGGAAUUUCUGUAUUAAGUUUGUGCCUCAUCAGCUAACAGUAAUCCUGGGGCUGGUGAGCACAAGGGCCAUUUUCUGGGAAAUUAAUAUCCUGAAAAUCCGGUCCUGACACGAAGGUAAAUAGUCAGGUAUAAACCUUAAGUUUGAUUGUGUUAAAUCUUUUAUGGAUGCCGAUCCUUUCCAUGAUUUUUGCACUAAAUAUGGACUUGACUCUGAGAUAGUAGCUUCUUUCUGUGAAUCUUUUGCUUCUCAUGUUGAUCUCCCUAGGGAGAAGUGGUUCAAAUAUCAUCCUCCCAUUGAAGUUAAAGUAGUAGAACUUAUUAAAGUUGAUGAAGAAACUAUUACUUAUAAUGUUGAUCCUAUUGUUCCGACUGCUUAUAUUGAGAAACCACCCUUCCCUGUUAGAAUUAAGGAUCAUGGAAAAGGUUUAACUGUGGUCAACAAAAGUUAUAUUAGAACACAUACACCCCCUGAGCAAAUUAAAGUUUAACCUAGUAUUGCUAUGGCUAAAGAUCUCUUGGUUGAUAAUAUUGAUGGGCAUGUUGUUUAUUUCUAUGAUGAAGCUGCUAGAAUUGCUAAACCCGAUAUAAAAGAUAAACAUAGACCUGUUGUUGGCAUGCCUAUUGUUUUUGUUAAAAUAGGAGAUCAUUGUUAUCAUGGCUUAUGUGAUGUGGGUGCUAGUGUGAGUGCAAUUCCUUAUACCUUAUAUAAAUAAAUUAUGAAUGAUAUUGCACCUGCUGAGAUAGAAAAUAUUGAUGUUACUAUUAAGCUAAUAGAGGUACUAUAUCACCAAUUGGGAUUGUUAGAGAUGUUGAAGUCUUGUGUGGGAAGAUAAAACAUCCUACUGAUUUUCUUGUUCUUGCUUCCCCACAAGAUAGUUUUUGUCCCAUCAUAUUUGGUAGACCUUUCUUGAAUACUGUUUAUGCUAAGAUAGACUAUGAGAAAGAUAUUGUUACUGUUGGUUUAGGGGAUAUGUCUCAUGAUUUUAAUUUCUCCAAAUUUCGAAGACAACCCCAUGAUAAAGAAUUGCCUAGUAAGGAUGGAAUUAUUGGUCUUGCUUAUUGCCGUGCCUCCUACUGAUCCUUUAGAACAAUAUUUGCUAGACCAUGAAAAUGAUAUGUUGAUGAAUGAAAGAAGGGAAAUAGAUGAAGUAUUCUUUAAUCAAGAGCCUAUUUUGAAUAACAAUUUUUCUGUUGAAAUCCUUGGGGAUCCUCCUCCACCCAAGGGUGAUCCCGUGUUUGAGCUUAAACAAUUACCUGAUACUCUGAAAUAUGCUUAUCUUGAUGAAAAGAAGAUAUAUCCUGUUAUUAUUAGUGCUAACUUUUCAUAGCAUGAAGAAAAGAAAUUAUUGAAACUAUGAAGAAGCAUCAUGCCGCUAUUAUAUAUACUCUUGAUGAUCUUAAGGGGAUUAGUCCCACUCUAUGCCAGCACAAAAUUAAAUUGGAGAAAGAUGUAAACCAGUUGUUGAUCAUCAAUGAUGGUUAAAUCCUAAGAUGAAAGAAGUGGUAAGAAGUGAAAUACUAAAGCUUCUAGAGGCAGGUAUAAUUUAUCCUAUUGCUGCUAGUCAAUGGGUAAGCCCUGUUCGUUGUGUCCCUAAGAAGGGAGGUAUUACUAUUGUUCCUAACAAUAAGAAUGAAUUGAUUCCACAAAGAAUUAUUAUAGGUUACAGAAUGGUAAUUGAUUUUCCCAAAUUUAAUAAAGCUAAUAGGAAAUAAUAUUACCCUCUACCUUUAAUUGAUCAAAUGCUAGAAAUAUUAUCCAAACAUACACAUUUUUGCUUUCUAGAUGGUUGUUCUGGUUUCUCUCAAAUACCUAUGUCAAAAGAUGUUCAAGAGAAAACCACUUUUACUUGCCCUUUUGGUACCUUCGCUUAUAGACGUAUGCCUUUUGGUUUAUGCAAUGCACAUGCUACCUUUCAAAGAUGUAUGACUGCUAUAUUCUCUAACUUAUGUGAAAAGAUUGUUGAGGUUUUUAUGGGUGAUUUCUCCGUUUAUGGAACUUCUUUGAUGAUUGCUUAAGCAACCUUGAUCGAUUUUUGCAGAGAUGUGAAGAAACUAAUCUCAUCUUGAAUUGGGAAAAGUGUCACUUUAUGGUUAAUGAAGGUAUUGUCUUGGGGCAUAAAAUUUCUGAAAGAGGUAUUGAAGUUGAUAAAGAUAAAGUAGAUGCUAUUGAAAAUAUGUCGUGUCCUAAAGAUAUCAAAAGUAUAAGAAGUUUCCUUCGUCAUGCUGGAUUCUAUAGGAGGUUUAUUAAAGACUUCUCUAAAAUUUCUAGGCCUCUCACUAAUAUCUUGCAAAAAGAUGUUCCUUUUGUUUUUUAUGGUGAUUGUGUAGAAGCAUUUGAAAUACUUAAGAAAGCCUUGAUUUCUGCUCCUAUUGUUCAUCCACCUCAUUGGAAUUUACCCUUUGCAAUUUUGUGUGAUGCUAGUGAUUAUGCUGUUGGUGCUGAUCAUCUUUGUACGGGUGAAUUGCGAAGUAUUUACGUGCUAGCCGAUGCAUGCAUGCUCUAAAGUUUGGUGUAAAGUUAUAUACCAUGCACAUGCAUGUAGGGUGUGGUAGAAAAAUUGUACAUAUACCUGUGAGUUCCCACGUACGGGCCGACAAGCUCUCAUACAUACUUGUAUACUCGUAUAAUCAACAAAAAGAAUGAAAUGGGUGAGCCUUCGAGACGGUCAGUGAUUCACACGUUUGGCAAUCGAAUCCGCCCACCUGCUGGCCACUUGGGUAGGAAAUUUUGUACCUUGUUUUGCAGGAGUGGGCGUCAAGAAGAUCAGCCAAAGAUAAACAUACGAAGCAAGAUCAACACAUUGCCGUCCAUAUCCCUUCCAAGGAAAUCGGCAACGGCCGAACUGCUGUUGCGCGUCAUGCAGCCCCUACCUCCUCCUACAAAUACACUCACGCGGGGCCAGAGAAAGGGGGACGCACACAUCCAUCCUCCGCACAGCACUUCUUUCAUCCAUCACACUGAAACGCAGAAGCACCCGGAGGCUAUCAAGGGAGAAGAUCUGAAGCACGGCGAGAUGCAAGAAGCUCUCUGGAGAGUUCUCUCACGCGGCACCAGAUUUUUGGUCGAACAAAGGACGCAGGCAUCGAUGCGGACGUACAUAGAGAGGGGGAAGCCGGCGUACGCCCAUCUGCAAGCAAGGGACCUCGGCGGCAACAACAUGAACGCUCGACUCACAUUCCCGGAAGGUAGUACUUUGAUCUAACAUACCACUUCUUUUCUUGCUCCCUCAUAUACAGCAUGCAUACACACGGGAACUACACAAACGAUGUUGAACUGCUGAAAGGAUCGAUAUGGUUGACUAGAGGGGGUGAAUAGGCAACUAACAAUUUUUAGACUUUUCUUUAACAAUUUAAACCUUGCAAAGAAAUAGGUUGUCUAGAUGUGCAACUACGUGGACAACCUAUAUGAUGCAAAGACAAUGAGCACACAAGCAAGCAAUGGAUAUAGCACAAGUAAGCUUGCAAAAGUAAAGGGAUAAGAUAACCAAGAGUGGAGCCGGUGGAGACGAGGAUGUGUUACCGAAGUUCCUUCCUUUUAAAGGGAAGUACGUCUCCGUUAGAGUGGUAUGGAGGCACAAUGCUCCCAAAGAAGCCACUAGGGCCAUCGUAAUCUCCUCACGCCCUCACACAAUGCGAGAUGCCGUGAUUCCACUAUUGGAGCCCUUGAAGGCGGCAACCGGACCUUUACAAACAAGAUUGGGGCUAUCUCCACAACACUUGGAGGCUCCCAAUAAUCCCGCGAAGCUUCACCACAAUGGAGUAUGGCUUCGAGGUGACCUCAACCGUCUAGGGUGCUCAACACCCAAGAGUAACAAGAUCCGCAAGGGAUAAGUGGGGGGAAUCAAAUAUCCUGUGGUGGAAGUGUAGAUCGGGCACUUGUCACCCAAUCCCGAGCAAAUCAACAAGUUUGAUUGGCUAGAGAGAGAGAGAUCAAGUGGAAAUGGAGCUUGGAGCAACAAUGGAGCUUGGAGAUGGAAAAGGUGGUCAACUAGAGGUAGAAGACGCCCCUUAUAUAGUCGUGGACAAAUUCCAACCGUUAUCCACAUGUUCAGCCCGCGACACACGGUACUACCGCUCUAGGGGCGCGGUACUACCGCGAGGCUGUGCGGUACUACCGUGGCUGACCACAGUACUACCGCGACAGCAACACAGGCCGGAACUACCCUGAUAAGGGGGCAGUACUACCGCUUGCGCGGUACUACCGCACCCACCUCUGGUACUACCGCAAGGCAGGAAAGUCACGGCCUGGGAAGGGCGCGGAUGAAAUAAAUUACAUCCGUGCCUACUUCCGCUGAACCGGAGGAGGUACAAAAAUCCGACGCGGUACUACCGCCCACGAGGCGCGGUACUACCGUGCGGACGCGGAUGUAAAAAAUUACAUCCGCGCCUACUACCACGACACUGCGGUACUAGGUAGGAGGGCCACGGUACUACGACUCCUAGGGAGCGGUACUACCGUGGGCCUCCGCGGUACUACCGCUCUGGACGAGCGGUACUACCGUGGAGGGCGCGGAUGUAAAAAAUUACAUCCGCCCCUACUACCGCACCGGAGCGGCACAAGGCCAGGGAGCCGCGGUACUACCGUUCCAGAUGAGCGGUACUACCGUGACACCCAGCGGUACUACUGCGUGUGCUUGCGAUACUACCGCAAGCACAGCAGUAGUCGUCAGAUUUCCGUACAACCAAGAUAACAAAGGGAAGCUCCAAAAAGCAGGGAAAGGAGGAACAAGUGUACGUGUUGAUUCCACCCAAACCUUUCCGACGCGGACCCCCUCUUAAUAGUACGGCUCUCCUACGACUCAAAUCCACCAAAGAGAACUGUAGAAUGACGCCGACUUCAAUAGUCUCCGAGGGGCACCGAAUCGUCUCAUGCCUAGAUAUGAAUAACCUGAGAAACUCAAGGCACACGAUUAGUCCGCAAAAGCAUUGUCAUCAAUCACCGAAACACCUGAGGGAAAAAUAUGCCCUUACAAUCUCCCCCUUUUUGGUGGAUUGAUGACAACACGGGAUUUGCAUAUGGAUAAGAUAAUUUAGAGCAGGUGCAAACCCCACCUCUCUAAAAUAUAGACGGGCUCCCCCUAGAUGUGUGCACUUUAGAUGAAUGCUUUGGACUGCAUAGCACACAGACUAGGAUCAACACUCCCCCUAUAUUUUAGAGACUAAGACAUGAUAAUAAGCAUAGCAUAGCAUAAAAAUAGCACAAUAUAACACGAGCUCACUAGGAUAGAUAGAGUGCAUAUGUCUUACACCAUACGAAGUAAAGCUACCGAGGUUCAACCGAGAAACCAGCAAACACACGACACAAACGAGAAAGCAGCAAACACAUGACACACUCGCAAAUCCCUACACUCUCUCCCCCUUUGGCAUCGAGACGCCAAAAAGGCAGAGAGGACACCUACACACAAGAGGUGGCUCAAGCAGAGAACUCGUCCCAAUCCUCUCCAUCGGACGCCUCGGCAGCAGGGAUGGUCUCCUCGACAUCCUCCUCAGACUCAGUCCACAUGUAGCCCUGCUUCUCCAUCCACUCGGCUUCUGGAGUGAUGUGCUCCUCAGACCCGCCAGACACUGCCUCACCAUAGAGCUGCAAGAUCUUGUUGUCCCGGCGACGACUCUCCUUGGACGCCAUGUGAGUCUUGUACUGCCCCUUGGCUUGCAUGCAGAAAAGAGUCUUCAUCUUGUCCUUCAGCUUCUUGGCCCAUGAUGGCAUAGAGGCACUCUGGGAAGGUCUAGCAGCAUGGCCCUCAGCAACAUCCUCGGGGCCAGCAUCCUCCUCAUCAACAGCACUCCUAGCAGCAGUCGCCUCGGCGCGAGUAGUGGUGUUGGCCCAGUUGGGUUUGAUACGCAGGCAGAUGGGCUCAUGGCGAACCUAGUCAGGAGCAAGAAACUCAUCAGCAGGAAACAUCUUCUCCCAAGUCUUCGAAAUCAGCAGAAACAGAUAGGGCCCAUAGAUAGGCACCUUGCGGUUGAACACUGCAAACCGGAGCUCACACCACAUGAUGUGUGAGACAUCAAGUGGCUGUGACUGAGACGAACGAGCAUCCUCGUAGAUGAUCAUCAUGUCCACCGUAUAGGCAUGAACCUUGUCUUUAUCACCUAUGCGAGGGAACAAGGAGUUGCGGAAGAUGCGAUACAUGAUAUCCAGGAAAGGGUUGAGCACCAAAGUUGUCUUGCCAUUGGCGAGUGCCUUCUCAACCAUGAAAGGGGCAAGUCUGUCCUUGCUGGCAGAAUCAGCAUUGGCAUGGGGGCGAACACCCACUGGAGAGUCGAGACCAUCAUCAGGAACCUGGAGGAGAUCCAUGAACUCCUUCCAGGUAGCAGACAGCUUACGGCCGUUGGUCAUCCAGGUCAUCCUCCGUUCCUCAUCAGAGUGAAAGUAGACUGAGGCAAACAACUGACAGAUGAGCUCAGGGUCAUAGUCGAGGUUGAAGGUAAUCACAUGCUUAAUGCCAAACUGCUCCACCAAGUCCAGAGCCUCUCCAAAGUAGUCACGAAACUUGUCCUUCCUCAUGUGAUGCAUAUCAAUCCACUUCACCUCCACAUAGGUGUUCUGCUUGUUCUUGAUGACAUCCAUAUAGAUGUUGACCUGUUGCUUGUUCCAGAACAACUCACAGCCUCUGAAGGUGGCACACGGAUGCACAUAAGGGUGAAGCUACCUGAGACGGACAUAAUCAGCUUGGGCAAUCUCAUCCAUGCCCUUAGCGGGCUCCUUGUGCUUGCUAGCUGAGUGCUUGACAUUGCGCUUGGAGGCAGACGAGCCUUCUGGUACUUCACCUGGGUUGCGCAGACGUUUGGAGCCAGUGUCACGACUGGGGUUGGACCGGCGAGAGCCACCACCUGAGACACACACGCAAAACACCAAAGACGCGAGAAGAUCAAUGCAAAGGCCACGAAAAAGCACAAGAAAUACAUAGAGGGCAUACGAGAAAGUUGGCAUGCGAUAGAUGUGAGCCACGGUAAAACUGCCACUGCUUGCGGUACUAAAAUAUUAGUACUGCUCCAACCGCGGUAGUACCGUGCUAGGGCACGGUAGUACCGUGGUUGGGGUGGAAGUAAACUUUUAGUACCACACAGAACGCGGUAGUACCGCUCCCGAGGGGCGGUAGUACCGUGCAAGCGGUAGUACCACGCCAGACGGGCGGUAGUACCGCGUCGCGUCAGAUCCAAUGGACGGUUUGAAUCUGAAAAGAACCGCAAAACAAUGGCGGUGCCACGGUGAUCCGAUCUAGCGCAAGACAACAAUACAAGUAUAAAUCCUAUGCAAUACCAUGCUCCAUCAUCCUACUCUUGCAGAGAUUAAGCCUACGAAUCUCAAGAACACACAAGCCUCCCCCAAAACCUAGAAACACUAAACACAAACAACACGGAGAGGGAGUUGGGGAAAAACCUUGGUCCAUAGCAAGAGCACGUGGUGGGGAACAAUCCCACCGGUCGGAAUCACAGGAGGGCAGCCGGUGGAGGAGAUCCGGCGACGAACACCGGCUCCGUUCUUGAGCGAGGGAGAGAAGGAGACGGCGUGGAGAGAGAGGACAGCGAAUGGGUAUGGGGAGUUAGAACUCCCCCUGCCCGUCCUUAUCCCCAUGCGCUCGAACCGGCGCGGUAGUACUGUAUCAUCGCGGUAGUACCGCUCGGGCGGAAGUACCGCGCCGAGGCGGUAGUACCGCUCAACUAGGCGGCAGUAAAAAAUUACUGUCGUGUGGUGACGGUAGUACCAUGCUCCCGCAAGCGGUAGUACCAUGGCAGUGUGCGGUAGAACCGUAACCGACCGUAGUAGUACUGUGAGCUCAAGUCACCGCACGUUCCAACACAAAAGGAAGAAGCCUUUGCACGGAAACUUUUCACACACAAGAAACACAAGAACACGCACAAACCAGAGGCAAGAAGACAACAAGAAACCACCGAGCGACAAAGCCUCUCGAGGAGAGAGGGUGGUGGCCGAAGCCACCUAUGUUUGAGUUGGAUGGUAUGGCACCACGAAGAAUUAUCCUUGGGCCCAUGACCAAAACUCGUCUUUGAAGCACAAGCACCAUUAAAAAUGGCUAAUGUGAAAAGGUGAUCGAUUUAUGCAUAAUGGGGGGAGGGAGAGUUCAUUGAGAGAACAACACUCCCCCUACGUCUAUGCCUACACCUAAACUAGACAACACGUUGAGUGUGGUGGGGGGUGUACGGGUUCAAGUCACAUUGCUCAAAUCAAUGAUAUUUAGCUCAUGCCUUAACUCGCGAAAUCUUGCUUCAUCCAAGGGCUUCGUGAAAAUAUCUGCAAGGUUAUCAUGAGUGUUGACAUACUUGAGCUCGAUCUCCCCUCGCCUAAUGUGAUCCCGGAUGAAGUGAUACCGAAUCUCAAUGUGCUUCGUCUUGAAGUGUUGUACCGGGUUGAGAGAAAUCUUGAUGGCACUUUCAUUAUCACACCAAAGAGGCACUUUGUCACAAACGACACCGUACUCCUUUAAAGUUUGCCUCAUCCAUAGGAGUUGAGCACAACAACUACUGGCCGCCACAUACUCCGCUUCGGUGGACGAGAGGGACACACAACUUUGCUUCUUGGAAGACCAACUUACCAAAGAGCAACCAAGAAAUUGGCACCCUGCGGAAGUGGACUUCCUAUCCACUUUGUCCCCCGCCCAAUCGGAAUCCGUGAAACCUUCAAGCUUGAAAUUUUCUCCUCUUGGGUACCAUAAGCCAAAGUUUGGGGUAUGAGCCAAAUAUCAAAAGAUUCUCUUGACCGCCACAUAGUGACUUUCCUUUGGUGCGGCUUGAAACCGUGCACACAUCCCCACACUCAACAUGAUAUCCGGUCUAGAUGCACAAAGGUAAAGCAAGGACCCAAUCAUGGAGCGAUAUACCUUUUGAUCCACCGCUUUACCAUUGGGAUCGAUGUCAAGUUGGCACUUGGUAGGCAUUGGUGUAGAAGCCGGCUUGACAUCACUUAGCUUGAAUCUUUUAAGCAUGUCUUGAGUGUAUUUGGCUUGGUUGAUGAAGGUUCCUUCUCUUCGUUGUUUGAUGUCAAAACCAAGGAAGAACUUCAACUCUCCCAUCGAAGACAUCUUGAACUUGGAGGUCAUGAGAGCGGCAAAUUCCUCAUUGAAAGCUUUGUUAGGAGAACCAAAGAUAAUAUCAUCAACAUAUAGUUGGCAUACAAACAACUCCCCUUUGACCUUCUUAGUAAAAAGAGUGGGAUCGAUUUGUCCUACUCCAAAUCCACGAUCUUGUAGCAACUCGGUAAGGUGGUCAUACCACGCACGUGGGGCUUGUUUAAGGCCAUAGAGUGCCUUAUCGAGUUGAUACACGUGAUCCAGGAAGUAGGGGUCCUCGAACCCGGGGGGUUGCUUGACAUAAACCAACUCAUUAAUGGGACCAUUAAGAAAAGCACUUUUCACAUCCAUUUGUUGCAACUUAAAGUUGUGAUGGGAAGCAUAAGCAAUCAACAAAUGAAUGGACUCAAGACGAGCAACGGGAGCAAAGGUUUCACCGUAGUCGAUGCCCUCGACUUGGGAGUAGCCUUGUGCUACCAAUCUUGCCUUGUUGCGAAUGAUGUUCCCAUGAGCAUCUUGCUUGUUCUUGAAGAUCCACUUUGUUCCAAUGACGUUGUGGUUCCCCGAAGGUCUUGGAACCAAUCUCCACACCUUGUUGUACUCGAAGUUGUUUAGUUCUUCAUGCAUGGCAUUGAGCCAAUCCGAGUCUUCGAGUGCCUCAUAGACCUUUUGGGGUUCAACACAAGAGACAAACGCAUGAUGUUCACAAUAGUUAGCUAAUUGUCUACGAGUGCUUACCCCCUUUCUUAGACUUCCAACCACGUUUUCCAUGAGAUGGCCUUGGGUGGUGAGUUUGGAAGCAAUCUUUGCGGCACGACGCUCUAAUUCUUCCUCGGGUGUGGAAGGAGGAAGGUUAACUUGAUCAUCUUGAGCGCCGUCUUGAGCUUGCUCAUGACCUUGAACUUGCUCGAGAGGGAGAACUUGACCUUGGGCAUCAUUUUGAGGUUCACCUCCAUCUUGAGGUUGAUCUUGCCCUUGGUCUUGUUCAUGAAGGAGAGGGCCUUCACUUUGUUCUUCGGAAGCGUGUGGGUCUUGGGGAGGUGAUGGCUCCACUUGAGUGGAGCAUUGUCCUUCUCCUUCGGCCACAAGGGGUUCCUCAAUGGGUAGGAUAUGACCAAUACCCAUUCUUCUUAUGGCUUGGGGAGGAAUUUCAUCACCUACAUCACAAGUACCACUUUGCUCCACUUGGGAGCCGUUAUUUUCAUCAAACUCUACGUUACACGUCUCCUCAAUGAGUCCGUUGGACUUGUUGAGAACACGGUAAGCAUGAGAGUUUGUAGCAUAACCAACAAAUAUGCCCUCAUGAGCUCUAGCUUCAAAUUUAGACAAGCGAACACCUUUCUUGAGAAUGAAACACUUACACCCAAACACCCAGAAGUACUUGAGAUUGGGCUUGUUCCCGGUGAGUAUCUCAUACGGAGUCUUGUUCAAGCCUUUGCGGAGAUAGAGCCGAUUGGAUGCAUGACAAGCUGUGUUGAUGGCUUCGGCCCAGAAGUUGUAUGGAGACUUGAACUCCGCCAUCAUGGUCCUUGCCGCAUCCAUCAACGUCCGGUUCUUUCUCUCUGCAACACCAUUUUGUUGAGGGGUAUAUGGUGCAGAAUAUUGAUGCUUGAUCCCUUCAUCACUAAGAAACUCAUCCAAGGUGUAGUUCUUGAACUCGGUGCCGUUGUCACUUCUUAUUGUCAAGAUCUUUGCAUCGUGUUGACGUUGGGCUUCAUUUGCAAAGUCGAUGACGGUCUGUUGGGUCUCACUCUUCCUCUUGAAGAAGUAUACCCAAGUGUAUCUUGAAUAAUCAUCCACUAUCACCAAGCAAUACUUUCUACCCCCAAGACUAUCAAAGGAUGGAGGCCCAAAGAGGUCCAUGUGAAGGAGCUCCAAGGGUCUCUUCGAGUAGAUGAUAGUCGUGGGAGGGUGAGCCAUCUCAUGAAGCUUUCCUUCGAUACAAGCACUGCAAACACGAUCUUUGGCAAAACUAACAUUCGUUAGUCCAUGAACAUGGUCCCCCUUGAGAAGACUUUGCAAAGAUCUCAUAUUGACGUGGGCUAAACGGCGAUGCCAAAGCCAUCCCACAUCAACUUUAGCCAUUAGGCAUGUCGCGGUCUUAGUGGGUUGCUCCGAGAAGUUAACCACAUAGAGGCCGUUCUCGACAUGCCCAACCAAGGCUACUUUAAGAGUCUUGCUCCACAAGAGGGCCACGGUAUCAAUAUCAAAGAAGGUGGCAAAACCCAUGAGUGUGAGUUGACGAACGGAAAGUAAAUUGAACGCAAGGGACUCAACAAGCAUGACUUUCUCGAUCGUUAGAUCAUGAGAAAUGACAACCUUGCCAAGACCCAAUACCUUAGAAUGUGAGGCAUCACCCCAUUCGACAUUGGUGGGCAUAGAUGGGAUGUUGUGCACGUCCACCACCAAGUCCUUGCUCCCGGUCAUAUGAUUUCUUGCUCCACUAUCGAGCAACCAUGAUCCCCCACCAGAAGCAAACACCUACAAGAGAUCAAUGCUUGGUUUUAGGUACCCAUUGAGUAAUGGGUCCUUUGAUGUUAGUAACAAGGGUCUUAGGAACCCAAAUAGACCAUUCAAUGUACUCAUAAGGAGAACCAACAAAUUUAGCAUAAACAUGUCCAUCACUAGCACGGCACAACACAUAAGAGGGGUUAAAGUCGUCGGCUUUGUUGGGAGAGAUGGCGUUGCGCUCUUUGGCUUCACCACUCUUCCCAUUGUUCUUCUUCUCCUUAGGAGCACCUCCUCCCUCCUUCACAAAGGUUUGCUUGAGCGGAGGAGGUCGAUUGGUCUUGCUCUUCUUCUCCUUGUUCUUCUUCUUGUUCUUGGACUUGGGUGCGAACCCAACUCCUUCCUUGCCCACAACUUCCUUUUGAUUGCUCAAAAGGUCAUUUAGGUUCUUCUCGCCUUGUAUGCAUGACACAAGACCUUUCUCGAGUUGUUCCUUCAACUUGGCAUUUUCCUCCACAAGGUGCACAUGCUCACAACAUGGGUUAGUAGCAUUUGCAUUAUCAAUUAAGACCAUGUGAGGAAAUGUGGCCUUUUCCUUGGUUAGCUUAACUUGGAGUUGAGCAUGAGACUCCUUGAGGGUGGCAUGAGCACCUUUCAAGACCUUGUGGGCCUUGUCAAGUACACCAAACUCCUCCGUGAGUCUAACAUGAUCAACCCCAAGUUUAGCCUUCUCGGAAGCUAGAACACGAUACACAACAAGAGCAUGAUCAAGAUCUUUCUUUAGUUUAGCAUGACCAUCAUUGUGUGACUCCUCAAGAGCCAAACGAUGCCCACGCUCUUCCUCAAGAGCAUUAGAGAGAUCCGAUAUCUCAUCGGCAUAGUCCCGACUAUGACUUUCCAUCUUAGUGAUGGUUUCUUCAUGUGCCUCGAUCAUGUCAUUGGCUUCACCAAGUUGUUCCAAGAGAGCAACGAAAUGCUUCUUGGAUUUGCCCUUGAGCUUUCUCAUGAAGGACUCAAAUUCAUUGAACUCCUCAUUAGACCCCUUACCAUUAUCAUAGUCAUCCGUUGAAGGAGGGUUAGGAAUAAUGGUGGUUUUGAUGUUGGGGGUUACCUUGUUGGUGGCCUUAGCCAUGAGGCACUUGGCGGUGAUGUUCUCGUUAGGUGCAUCGAAGAGAGACACCUGAGGAGUUGAGACAAUGGCAACGGAUGCCAUGGCCAUUGUUUCACCAUCUUCAUCAUCAUCGUCAUCCUCACGGUAUUCUUCUUGAACCACCAACCCACGAGAAGGAGUCUUCUUGGUGAAGUUGUUCUUGUUGGGGAAGGUCUUGGCUUUGUCCUUUCGAAUGAACUUGCCACCAUUGUCUUCCCGCUUCUCGUAUGGACAAUCCGCAAUGAAAUGGCUGACAUUGCCACAGUUGAAACAAGUUCUGACUCGUUGCUUCCCCUUGAGGCCACUUGAGUUGUUCUUGUUAAAGUUGGGUCUUGUAAUCUUCUUACUCCAAAACUGUCUUGAGGCAAGAGCCAUGUGCUCAUGAUAAUCAUACUUCGUGUCCUCGGGGUUGCUCUCCUCAUCUUCCUCCUCUUCUUCUUCUUCCACACUAACCUUGGCCUUCAAGGCAAGAUUGGGCUUCUUUGCCCUUUGGGAACGGAGCACCGCAUUGUCGGCGGUCUUAUCCAAGAUGUUCAUUGCAACAAACUCAUCCAACACUUCACCAGAGGUCAUGGAGUGGAAGUCCGGUCUUUGGCGGAUGACGGAGGACAUGGCCUUGUUGUAGGGCUUCAUGGCCUUGAGGAACUUGCGCUUGAUCCAGUUGUCAUCUGUGUCCUUGCUCCCAUGAUCUCGGAGUGCGACCGCAAGUUUGGUCACUCUUCGAAAGAGCUCACGAGAUUCUUCAUCCUCUUUCAUUGCAAACUCAUCGGCUUCAUCUUGCACCACUUCAUAGUUGGAGCGUUGAAUGCUAGCACUUCCUCGAUACAUACGCUCGACACACUUCCAUGCUUCUUUAGCCAUGACAUGAGGUCGAAGAUGAGGGAUAUCUUCGGGAAGGAUAGCAUCUUGGAUGAUGAAGAGAGCACUCUCAUUGAAUUGAUUGUCCACUUCUUCUUGAGGGGUGAAGUUGCUUGGAUCAUGAGGAUAGAAACCUUCUUCAAUAAUUCUCCAAAGGUUAGUAUUCACAUGUUUUAAAUGACGCUUGAAGCGAUAAACCCAAGAAUCAUAAUCUUCAUUUUUCACAUAUUUAGGAGGAGGACCGGCAUGAUUCAAAUGCGUAGAGGGGAUCGGUCCUCUAUACACCGGGGGUUCCACAUGGGCAUAGAUGCCAGUGCCAUUUCUACCACUAGUAGACAGACUCUUUUCACUAUUAGCUUCCCCCUUGUCGGGGUUAGCAUCCGUCACCUUGUUAGUGGGAUCACCCACUUUCAUCGGCGAGGUUGAGACCCUCUAGGAAUUCGGUAAACAUGCUUUUAACCUCGGCCGUCAUGGAGGUUUUCAAUGUGUCUAACGCCACAUUGAAUUCCUCACGAGAGACAGAGGUUCUCCCUUCGGCCGAAGACGAGAUGGGAUUCACACCGGAGUGUUCCUCCGCAUCGUCGUUGACGUCAACCAUACUCUUUGAACGGCAAAGUCCUUAAUAAAGAGACGAGGCUCUGAUACCAAUUGAAAAGGAUCGAUAUGGUUGACUAGAGGGGGGUGAAUAGGCAACUAACAAUUUUUAGACUUUUCUUUAACAAUUUAAACCUUGCAAAGAAAUAGGUUGUCUAGAUGUGCAACUACGUGGACAACCUAUAUGAUGCAAAGACAAUGAGCACACAAGCAAGCAAUGGAUAUAGCACAAGUAAGCUUGCAAAAGUAAAGGGAUAAGAUAACCAAGAGUGGAGCCGGUGGAGACGAGGAUGUGUUACUGAAGUUCCUUCCUUUUAAAGGGAAGUACGUCUCUGUUAGAGCGGUGUGGAGGCACAAUGCUCCCCAAGAAGCCACUAGGGCCACCGUAAUCUCCUCACGCCCUCACACAAUGCGAGAUGACGUGAUUCCACUAUUGGAGCCCUUGAAGGCGGCAACCGGACCUUUACAAACAAGAUUGGGGCUAUCUCCACAACACUUGGAGGCUCCCAAUAAUCCCGCGAAGCUUCACCACAAUGGAGUAUGGCUUCGAGGUGACCUCAACCGUCUAGGGUGCUCAACACCCAAGAGUAACAAGAUCCGCAAGGGAUAAGUGGGGGGAAUCAAAUAUCCUGUGGUGGAAGUGUAGAUCGGGCACUUGUCACCCAAUCCCGAGCAAAUCAACAAGUUUGAUUGGCUAGGGAGAGAGAUCGAGUGGAAAUGGAGCUUGGAGCAACAAUGGAGCUUAGAGAUGGAAAAGGUGGUCAACUAGAGGUAGAAGAUGCCCCUUAUAUAGUCGUGGACAAAUUCCAACCGUUAUCCACAUGUUCAGCCCGCGACACAUGGUACUACCGCUCCAGGGGCGCGGUACUACCGCGAGACUGUGUGGUACUACCGUGGCUGACCACGGUACUACCGCGACAGCAACACAGGCCGGAACUACCCUGAUAAGGGGGCAGUACUACCGCUUGCGCGGUACUACCGCACCCACCUGCGGUACUACCGCAAGGCAGGAAAGUCACGGCCUGGGAAGGGCGCGGAUGAAAUAAAUUACAUCCGUGCCUACUUCCGCUGAACCGGAGGAGGUACAAAAAUCCGACGCGGUACUACCGCCCGCGAGGCGCGGUACUACCGUGCGGACGCGGAUGUAAAAAAUUACAUCUGCGCCUACUACCGCGACACUGCGGUACUAGGUAGGAGGGCCACGGUACUACGACUCCUAGGGAGCGGUACUACCGUGGGCCUCCGCGGUACUACCGCUCUGGAGGGCGCGGAUGUAAAAAAUUACAUCCGCCCCUACUACCGCACCGGAGCGGCACAAGGCCAGGGAGCCGCGGUACUACCGUUCCAGAUGAGCGGUACUACCGUGACACCCAGCGGUACUACCGCGUGUGCUUGCGGUACUACCGCAAGCACAGCAGUAGUCGUCAAAUUUCUGUACAACCAAGAUAACAAAGGGAAGCUCCAAAAAGCAAGGAAAGGAGGAACAAGUGUACGUGUUGAUUCCACCCAAACCUUUCUGACGUGGACCCCCUCUUAAUAGUACGGCUCUCCUACGACUCAAAUCCACCAAAGAGAAACGUAGAAUGACGCCGACUUCAAUAGUCUCCGAGGGGCACCGAAUCGUCUCAUGCCUAGAUAUGAAUAACCUGAGAAACUCAAGGCACACGAUUAGUCCGCAAAAGCAUUGUCAUCAAUCACCGAAACACCUGAGGGAAAAAUAUGCCCUUACAACUGCCGAAGAGGAGGUUGGCGUGAUCAGAUCGGGCCGCCGCCGGAGAUAGAGCCACGGGCGCCAUGGAAGAUGAUGACAUGGAGGUCGACAACACCGGGGUCGCCAUCACCGCUCACUCCACUUCAUCAUGAAGGUGUCGUGGGACACGAUGACAUGGAGCACGCCACGACGCCGCCCACCGUCGAUGUCGUCAAGCUGGCCACAUGGAGGUCAGCGGCACAGAGAUCGCCACCACCUCACGCCCACUUCAUUACGAUGGUGUCACGAAAGAUGAUGAACAGGGCCACGGUGAACAGGAUCAUCGCGAAGGAGACACAGGCAUACAGGUUUUGCACCACGCACUUGGACGAGACUCGCCUCUCCCUUCCUGGCGUACAGAUCUUUUUCUGAACUAGAGCUCGCCAAUGACGCAGCCCGAAACCGGCCUUCAUGUCCUUGGUACACUCAUCCUUGAUGAACAGUUCAUGAAGUUCAGGUCGCGACGCACAGGUCCUUGACGCACAGAUUGCAACGAACAGAGCCACGGGGGACAGGUUCACUGCGAUAGAGACUCUAACGUAUAGGUUUUGUGCCACGUUCUUGGAGGAGGCAGUGUGGCAGAACCAGAGCUCGUUGACGAUGCGGCCCGAGACUCGCCUUUUCCUUCAUGGCGUACAUAUCUUUGUCUGAACUGGAGUUUGCGACGAUGCAGUCAAAGACCGAUUCCCUCCUUCGAGAGGCGUACCCAGCAUGGCGGACAGUGUUGGGGAACGUAGCAGAAAUUCAAAAAUUUUCCUACGUAACACCAAGAUCUAUCUAUGGAGAGACCAGCAACGAGUAGAAAGGGGAGUGCAUCUACAUACCCUUGUAGAUCGCUAAGCAGAAGCGUUCAAGUGAACGGGGUUGAUGGAGUCGUACUCGUCGUGAUUCAGAUCACCGAUGAUCCUAGUGCCGAACGGAAGGCACCUCCGCGUUCAACACACGUACAGCUCGAUGAUGUCUCCCACGCCUUGAUCCAGCAAGGAGAGAGGGAGAGGUUGAGGAAGACUCCAUCCAGCAGCAGCACAACGGCGUGGUGGUGAUGGAGGAGCGUGGCAAUCCUGCAGGGCUUCGCCAAGCACCUACGGGAGAGGAGGAGGUGUCACGGGAGGGAGGGAGGCGCCAAGGGCUCAGGUAUGGAUGCCCUCCCUCCCCUCCACUAUAUAUAGGGGCAGGGGAGAGGGGGGAGGCGCAGCCUUGCCCCUUCCUCCAAGGAAGGGGUGCGUCUAAGAGGGGGGGAGGAGUCCAUCCUCCCCAAGGCACCUCGGAGGUGCCUUCCCCCUUUAGGACUCUCCCCUUUUUCCUAUAUCUUGGCGCAUGGGCCUCUAGGGGCUGGUGCCCUUGGCCCAUGUAGGCCAAGGCGCACCCCCUACAGCCCAUGUGGCCCCCCGGGCAGGUGGCCCCACCCGGUGGGCCCCCGGGACCCUUCCGGUGGUCCCGGUACAAUACCGAUGACCCCGAAACUUGUCCCGAUGGCCGAAACAGGACUUCCUAUAUAUAAAUCUUUACCUCCGGACCAUUCCGGAACUCCUCGUGACGUCCGGGAUCUCAUCCGGGACUCCGAACAACAUUCGGUAACCACAUACAAACUUCCUUUAUAACCCUAGCGUCAUCGAACCUUAAGUGUGUAGACCCUGCGGGUUCGGGAGACAUGUAGUCAUGACCGAGAUGUUCUCCGGUCAAUAACCAACAGCGGGAUCUGGAUAUCCAUGUUGGCUCCCACAUGUUCCACGAUGAUCUCAUCGGAUGAACCACGAUGUCAAGGACUCAAUCAAUCCCGUAUACAAUUCCCUUUGUCUAGCGGUAUGGUACUUGCCCGAGAUUCGAUCGUCGGUAUACCGAUACCUUGUUCAAUCUCGUUACCGGCAAGUCUCUUUACUCGUUCCGUAACACAUCAUCCCGUGAUCAACCCCUUGGUCACAUUGUGCACAUUAUGAUGAUGUCCUACCGAGUGGGCCCAGAGAUUCCUCUCCGUUUACACGGAGUGACAAAAUCCCAAUCUCGAUUCGUGCCAACCCAACAGACACUUUCAGAGAUACCCGUAGUGUACCUUUAUAGCCACCCAGUUACGUUGUGACGUUUGGCACACCCAAAGCACUCCUACGGUAUCCGGGAGUUGCACAAUCUCAUGGUCUAAGGAAAUGAUACUUGACAUUAGAAAAGCUUUAGCAUACGAACUACAUGAUCUUGUGCUAGGCUUAGGAUUGGGUCUUGUCCAUCACAUCAUUCUCCUAAUGAUGUGAUCCCGUUAUCAACGACAUCCAAUGUCCAUGGUCAGGAAACCGUAACCAUCUAUUGAUUAACGAGCUAGUCAACUAGAGGCUUACUAGGGACAUGGUGUUGUCUAUGUAUCCACACAUGUAUCUGAGUUUCCUAUCAAUACAAUUUUAGCAUGGAUAAUAAACGAUUAUCAUGAACAAGGAAAUAUAAUAAUAAUCAAUUUAUUAUUGCCUCUAGGGCAUAUUUCCAACAGUCUCCCACUUGCACUAGAGUCAAUAAUCUAGUUCACAUCGAUAUGUGAUUAACACUCAAGGUCACAUCCCCAUGUGACUAACACCCAAAGAGUUUACUAGAGUCAAUAAUCUAGUUCACAUUUACCAUGUGAUUAACACUCGAUGAGUUCUGGGUUUGAUCAUGUUAUGCUUGUGAGAGAGGUUAUAGUCAACGGGUCUGAACCUUUCAGAUCCGUGUGUGCUUUACAAAUCUCUAUGUCAUCUCCUAGAUGCAGCUACCACGUUCUAUUUGGAGCUAUUCCAAAUAACUGUUCUACUUGGAGCUAUUCUAAAUUGUUGCUCCAUUAUAUGUAUCCGGUAUCUCUACUCAGAGCUAUCCGGAUAGGUGUUAAGCUUGCAUCGACGUAACCCUUUACGAUGAACCCCUUUACCACCUCCAGAAUCGAGAAAAUUCCUUAGUCCACUAGUUACUAAGGAUAACUUUGACCGUUGUCCUGUGAUCCAUUCUUGGAUCACUCUUGUACCCCUUGACUGACUCAUGGUAAAGCACACUUCAGGUGCGGUACACAGCAUAGCAUACUGUAGAGCCUAUGUCUUAAGCAUAGGGGACGACCUUCGUUCCUUUCUCUCUAUUCUGCCAUGGUCGAGCUUUAAGUCUUAACUUCAUACCUUACAACUCAGGCAAGAACUCCUUCUUUGACUGAUCCAUCUUGAACACCUUCAAGAUCACGUCAAGGCAUGUGCUCAUUUGAAAGUACUAUUAAGCGUUUUGAUCUAUCCUUAUAGAUCUUGAUGCUCAAUGUUCAAGUAGCUUAAUCCAGGUUUUCCAUUGAAAACACUUUCCAAAUAACCAUAUAUGCUUUCUAGAAAUUCUACGUCAUUUCUGAUUAACAACAUGUCAACAACAUAUAUUCAUCAGAAAUUCUAUAGUGCUCCCACUCACUUCUUUGGAAAUACAAGUUUCUCAUAAACUUUGUAUACACCCAAAAUCUUUGAUCAUCAUCAAAGCAUACAUUCCAACUCCGAGAUGCUCACUCCAGUCCUCAGAAGGAUUGCUGGAGCUUUGCAUACUUAUUAGCAUAUUUCAGGAUAGACAAAACCUUCCGGUUGUAUCACAUACAACCUUUCCUCAAAAAUCGUCGAGGAAACAAUGUUUUGACAUCCUAUCUGCAAGAUUUCAUAAAUAAUGCAGUAAUUGCUAAUAUAAUUCCAACAGACUCUUAGCAUCGCUACGAGUGAGAAAGUCUCAUCGUAGUCAACUCCUUGAACUUGUCGAAAAACAUCUUAAUGACAAGUCGAGCUUUCUCAAUGGUGACACUUACCAUCAUUGUCUGUCUUCCUUUCAAAAUCCAUAUGUACCUAACAGCCUUACGACCAUCAAGUAGUUCUUCCAAAGUCUACACUUUGUUUUCAUACAUGGAUCCUCUCUCGGGUUUUAUGGCCUUGAGCCAUUUAUCGGAAUCCGGGCCCACCAUCGCUUCUCCAUAGCUUGUAGGUUCAUUGUUGUCUAGCAACAUGACUUCCAAGACAGGAUUACGUACCACUCUGAAGUAGUACGCAUCCUUGUCAUCCCACGAGGUUUGGUAGUGACUCGAUCCGAAGUUUCAUGAUCACUAUCAUAAGCUUCCACUUCAGUUGGUGUACGUGCCACAGGAACAACUUCCUGUGCCCUGCUACACACUUGUUGAAGUGACGGUUCAAUAACCUCAUCAAGUCUCCACCAUCCUCCCACUCAACUUUUCGAGAGAAACCUUUCCUCGAAAAAGGACCCGAUUCAAGAAACAAUCCCUAUUGCUUUCGGAUCUGAAUUAGGAGGUAUACCCAACUGUUUUUGGGUGUCCUAUGAAGAUGCAUUUUAUCUGCUUUGGGUUCGAGCUUAUCAACCUGAAACCUUUUCACAUAAGCGUCGCAGCCCCAAACUUUCAAGAAACGGCAACUUAGGUUUCUCCAAACCAUAGUUCAUACGGUGUCGUCUCAAGGAAAUUAUGUGGUGCCCUAUUUAAAGUGAAUGUGGUUGUCUCUAAUGCCUAACCCAUGAACGAUAGUGGUAACUCGAUAAGAGACAUCAUGGUAUGCACCAUAUCCAAUAGGGUGCAACUAUGACGUUUGGACACACCAUCACACUAUGGUGUUCCAGGCUGUAUCAGUUGUGAAACAAUUUCCACAAUGUCUUAAUUCUGUGCCAAACUCAUGAUUCAGAUAUUCAUCUCUAUGAUCAUAUCAUAGAUCUUUUAUCCUCUUGUCACGACGAUCUUUCAACUUCACACUGAAAUUACUUGAACCUUUCAAUAAUUCAGACUCGUGAUUCAUCAAGUAAAUAUACUCAACAUCUACUUGAAUCAUCUGUGAAGUAAGAACAUAACGAUAUUCACUGCAUGCCUCAGCACUCAUUGGAUUGCACACAUCAAAAUGUGUUACUUCCAACAAGUUGCUAUCUUGUUCCAUCUUACUGAAAACGAGGCUUUUCAGUCAUCUUGCCCAUGUGGUAUGAUUUGCAUGUCCCAAGUGAUUCAAAAUCAAGUGAGUCAAAACGGUCCAUUUGCAUGGAGUUUCUUCAUGCAUAUACACCAAUAGACAUGGUUCGCAUGUCUCAAACUUUUCAAAAAUGAGUGAGCCCAAAGAUCCAUCAAUAUGGAGCUUCUUCAUGCGUUUUAUACCGAUAUGACUUACGUGGCAGUGCCACAAGUAGGUGGUACUAUCAUUACUAUCUUUUGGCAUGAACAUGUGUAUCACUGUGAUCGAGAUUUAAUAAACCAUUCAUUUUAGGUGUAAGACCAUUGAAGGUAUUAUUCAAAUAAACAGAGUAACCAUUAUUCUCCUUAAAUGAAUAACUGUAUUGCGAUAGACGUAAUCCAAUCAUGUCUAUGCUCAACGCAAACACCAAAUAACAAUUAUUUAGGUUUAACACCAAUCUCUUUGGUAGAGGGAGCGUGCGAUGCUUGAUCAUAUCAAGCUUGGAAAAACUUCCAACACAUAUCGUCAGCUCACCUUUAGCUAGUCUCCGUUUAUUCCGUAGCCUUUUGUUUCGAGUUACUAACACUUAGCAACCGAACCGGUAUCUAAUACCCUGGUGCUACUAGGAGUACUAGCAAAGUACACAUUAACACAAUGUAUAUCCAAUAUACUUCUAUCGACCUUGCCAGCCUUAUCAUCUACCAAGUAUCUAGGGUAAUUCUGCUCCAGUGGUUGUUCCCCUUAUUACAGAAGCACUUAGUCUCGGGUUUGGGUUCAACCUUGGGUUUCUUCACUAGAGCAGCAGCUGAAUUGCCGUUUCAUGAAGUAUCCCUUCUUGCCCUUGCCCUUCUUGAAACUAGUGGUUUCACAACCAUCAACAAUUGAUGCUCCUUCUUGAUUUCUACUUUCGCGGUGUCAAACAUCACGAAUAUUUCAAGGAUCAUCAUAUCUAUCCCUGAUAUGUUAUAGUUCAUCACGAAGCUCUAGCAGCUUGGUGGCAAUGACUUUGGGGAAACAUCACUAUCUCAUCUGGAAGAUCAACUCCCACUCGAUUCAAGUGAUUGUUGCACUCAGACAAUCUGGGCACAAGCUCAACGAUUGAGCUUUUCUCCCUUAGUUUGCAGGCUAAGAAAAUCAUCGGAGGUCUUAUACCUCUUGACAUGGGCACGAGCCUGAAAUCCCAAUUUCAGCCCUUGAAACAUCUCAUAUGUUCCGCGACGUUUCGAAAACGUCUUUAGUGCCUCAACUCUAAACCAUUUAACUGAACUAUCACAUAGUUAUCAAGACGUGUAUGUCCGAUGUUCACAACAUCCACAAACGACGUUUUGGGGUUCAGCACACUGAGCGGUGCAUUAAGGACAUAAGCCUUCUAUGAAGCAAUGAGGACAAUCCUCAGUUUACGGACUUAGUCCGCAUAAUUGCUACUAUCAACUUUCAACUAAUUUUUCUCUAGGAACAUAUCUAAACAGUAGAACUAUAGCGUGAGCUACGACAUAAUUUGCAAAAACCUUUUGACUAUGUUCAGGAUAAUUAAGUUCAUCUUAUGAACUCCCACUCAGAUAGACAUCCCUCUAGUCAUCUAAGUGAUUACAUGAUCCGAGUCAAACUAGGCCGUGUCCGAUCAUCACGUGAGACGGACUAGUCAUCAUCGGUGAACAUCUUCAUGUUGAUCGUAUCUUCUAUAUGACUCAUGUUCGACCUUUCGGUCUCCGUGUUCCGAGGCCAUGUCUGUACAUGCUAGGCUCGUCAAGUUAACCCUAAGUGUUUCGCGUGUGUAAAUCUGUCUUACACCCGUUGUAUGUGAACGUUAGAAUCUAACACCCGAUCAUCACGUGGUGCUUCGAAACACGAACUGUCGCAACGGUGCACAGUUAGGGGAGAACACUUCUUGAAAUUGUUGUAAGGGAUCAUCUUAUUUACUACCGUCGUUCUAAGCAAAUAAGAUGUAUAAACAUGAUAAACAUCACAUGCAAUCAAAUAGUGACAUGAUAUGGCCAUCAUCACUUUGCUCCUUUUGAUCUCCAUCUUCGGGGCUCCAUGAUCAUCAUCGUCACCGGCAUGAAACCAUGAUCUCCAUCAUCAUGAUCUCCAUCAUCGUGUCUUCAUGAAGUUGCCUCGCCAACUAUUACUUCUACUACUAUGGCUAACGAUUAGCAAUAAAGUAAAGUAAUUACAUGACGUUUAAGUUGACACGCAGGUCACAAAUAAAUAAAGACAACUCCUAUGGCUCCUGCCGGUUGUCAUACUCAUCGACAUGCAAGUCGUGAUUCCUAUUACAAGAACAUGAUCAAUCUCAUACAUCACAUAUAUCAUUCAUCACAUCCUUUUUGGCCAUAUCACAUCACAUAGCAUACCCUGCAAAAACAAGUUAGACGUCCUCUAAUUGUUGUUUGCAUGUUUUACGUGGCUGCUAUGGGUUUCUAGCAAGAACGUUUCUUACCUACGCAUGAACCACAACGUGAUAUGCCAAUUGCUAUUUACCCUUCAUAAGGACCCUUUUCAUCGAAUCCGAUCCGACUAAAGUGGGAGAGACAGACACCCACCAGCCACCUUAUGCAACUAGUGCAUGUUUGUCGGUGGAACCGGUCUCACGUAAGCGUACGUGUAAGGUUGGUCCGGGCCGCUUCAUCCCACGAUGCCGCCGAAUCAAGAUAAGACUAGUAACGGCAAGCAUAUUGAACAAUAUCGACGCCCACAACUACUUUGUGUUCUACUCGUGCAAAGAAUCUACGCAAUAGACCUAGCUCAUGAUGCCACUGUUGGGGAACGUAGCAGAAAUUCAAAAAAUUUCCUACGUAACACCAAGAUCUAUCUAUGGAGAGACCAGCAACGAGUAGAAAGGGGAGUGCAUCUACAUACCCUUGUAGAUCGCUAAGCGGAAGCGUUCAAGUGAACGGGGUUGAUGGAGUCGUACUCGUCGUGAUUCAGAUCACCGAUGAUCCUAGUGCCGAACGGAAGGCACCUCCGCGUUCAACACACGUACAGCUCGAUGAUGUCUCCCAUGCCUUGAUCCAGCAAGGAGAGAGGGAGAGGUUGAGGAAGACUCCAUCCAGCAGCAGCACAACGGCGUGGUGGUGAUGCAGGAGCGUGGCAAUCCUGCAGGGCUUCGCCAAGCACCUACGGGAGAGGAGGAGGUGUCACGGGAGGGAGGGAGGCGCCAAGGGCUCAGGUAUGGAUGCCCUCCCUCCCCUCCACUAUAUAUAGGGGCAGGGGAGAGGGGGGAGGCGCAGCCUUGCCCCUUCCUACAAGGAAGGGGUGCGGCUAAGAGGGGGGGAGGAGUCCAUCCUCCCCAAGGCACCUCGGAGGUGCCUUCCCCCUUUAGGACUCUCCCCUUUUUCCUAUAUCUUGGCGCAUGGGCCUCUAGGGGCUGGUGCCCUUGGCCCAUGUAGGCCAAGGCGCACCCCCUACAGCCCAUGUGGCCCCCCGGGCAGGUGGCCCCACCCGGUGGGCCCCCGGGACCCUUCCGGUGGUCCCGGUACAAUACCGAUGACCCCGAAACUUGUCCCAAUGGCCGAAACAGGACUUCCUAUAUAUAAAUCUUUACCUCCGGACCAUUCCGGAACUCCUCGUGACGUCCGGGAUCUCAUCCGGGACUCCGAACAACAUUCGGUAACCACAUACAAACUUCCUUUAUAACCCUAGCGUCAUCGAACCUUAAGUGUGUAGACCCUGCGGGUUCGGGAGACAUGUAGUCAUGACCGAGAUGUUCUCCGGUCAAUAACCAACAGCGGGAUCUGGAUACCCAUGUUGGCUCCCACAUGUUCCACGAUGAUCUCAUCGGAUGAACCACGAUGUCAAGGACUCAAUCAAUCCCGUAUACAAUUCCCUUUGUCUAGCGGUAUGGUACUUGCCCGAGAUUCGAUCGUCGGUAUACCGAUACCUUGUUCAAUCUCGUUACCGGCAAGUCUCUUUACUCGUUCCGUAACACAUCAUCCCGUGAUCAACCCCUUGGUCACAUUGUGCACAUUAUGAUGAUGUCCUACCGAGUGGGCCCAGAGAUUCCUCUCCGUUUACACGGAGUGACAAAAUCCCAAUCUCGAUUCGUGCCAACCCAACAGACACUUUCAGAGAUACCCGUAGUGUACCUUUAUAGCCACCCAGUUACGUUGUGACGUUUGGCACACCCAAAGCACUCCUACGGUAUCCGGGAGUUGCACAAUCUCAUGGUCUAAGGAAAUGAUACUUGACAUUAGAAAAGCUUUAGCAUACGAACUACAUGAUCUUGUGCUAGGCUUAGGAUUGGGUCUUGUCCAUCACAUCAUUCUCCCAAUGAUGUGAUCCCGUUAUCAACGACAUCCAAUGUCCAUGGUCAGGAAACCGUAACCAUCUAUUGAUUAACGAGCUAGUCAACUAGAGGCUUACUAGGGACAUGGUGUUGUCUAUGUAUCCACACAUGUAUCUGAGUUUCCUAUCAAUACAAUUCUAGCAUGGAUAAUAAAUGAUUAUCAUGAACAAGAAAAUAUAAUAAUAAUCAAUUUAUUAUUGCCUCUAGGGCAUAUUUCCAACAGACAGGUCCAUGGCAUCGCCGACACACAGGUCACUCCUUCGCGUAGCACCACCCCAAGGCGAUGAGGCCUCUGCGACAUCACCUUCCACGGCCCCAUGAGGCGGCGCCUUUGCCUUGGCGGACCGCCAAAUACAUGACGUCUAGCAAAGAUGAGGCGCCAACCACCCCGGCCACGCCAAUGUGAGCGUGCGCCAGUUUAUACACUGACGCUGGUCUUCCUAAACCGUUACUCCUGCAAGGAGCAGCCCCCUGCACACCCCGAUGAAGCAACCGGUCGUCGAGAAGUCCGAACCGAGCGCGAAUCAUGCCACCCUGACAACAAAUACUCCAACGCCGCCAAGACCAACGAGGCACGACGGCGAGGGCGGCGUGGCCACCGCAAAGGCCACGCUACUUGCGGCGCGUGUACCGGCGAGGACACGGGCUCUGCCGCCGCCCACACACACCACCACCAUCAUGCAUGGAGAACGUGAAGCGAAGACGACGAAGACGACCACACGGCUUAAUCGGAGGUAUCCCGCGGAGCAACCCGCAGGAGUAAUUAACCGGGAGCCUUCCGAGGCCCCGGGAACCAGGAGACCGCAAUCGCCACAGUCAGGCUGGCCGCGCUAGUAGGCCACAGAGCGCAUUUGUUUUCCUUAUGAGAUCUUGUAAUUUUAUUUCUCCAUUGAGAUUAAUGAAAUACUUGUUUCUCAUACCUUUUUCUUUGUGUACAACGGUACACUGGCACGUCCGCAUAUUUACUUUUCCCUUUCCCGACGCAAGAGAGAAAUACGCUCCCCUUCCCUUCUCUCAGAGUCCCUAGAUAUUUUUCUCGUGUCAAAUAUGGGUGGCCCGUCCGGGCGUAUGAGGUGGGUUUGAGGCGCCUGGUUGUAGAUGCUCUUAGAGCCAUAACUACUGUUUGUACAAUAUCAAUCACUUUACACAUAUUAUCUUGCUUAGAAUUAAUCGGCUUCACAUCCUUGCCCAACAUCCUCCUUAAGUUCAUUUGUUUCUCCGUUGUGGGCAGCAAAAUAUGCUUUCAUAGCUAACAGAUCUGCUACUUCUGCCUCAUCGAUGACAGACUUGGUUAAGUCCCAUCUUGUAUCACUGACUCCGAGAGGAAUUUUACUGUCGUAGCACGGUAACCCGAACAGAGGAGUGAUACAUGUCGCCGCCGUAGAAGACUCCUCUAAUUGCAGCAUCACUCGCCAUUGUUCCUGGGAUUUUACCCCGAAACAAAGUGUUUUGGUAACCAGAACACGAACAGGAGCUGCCGCCGGAUGAUUUCUACCGCCGCCAACGCCGCCCGAUGGUCACCAUCGUUAACGCCACCCAAAAACACCGCUGCCAGAAAUCGCUGCCGCCGCCGCCCAACACCGAAUUAAGGGAGAGGUGGGUGGGAUGAUCCACAGUGAGACACACAUCUCAAGCUGCCGAGGAAAGCAUGUGCUAUGAUUACCAAUUGUCUUGUCUGAAGCAUGGAAUCUGGGGAUCGAGGGAGCUCGCUAGGGUUUCGAUGUGGAUCUUGGCUAAGAUUAUACACUGCGAAUAUCCAUGUCUACUAUAAGAUGAAUGUUUUUAAGUGUAUAAUUGAGUUCAACUCGGCAGAAUAGAUGAUGGUACAAGCGCUGUGCACCAGCUCUUAUAUAGCCCGACAAUGGUAUGAAAGUAAACAGUACAGGCAAUAAUGAAACGGUACAGUAACACGCGAGCACAGGAGCCAUUGGAUCCUCAUAGCCCAGAUGCUUCAUAACCGUUGGAUAACUGAACUUGGAUAGAGUCAUGUAACAGGUUCAGAACCCUGACAUCCGAUUCCGGCCACGACUCCGGUAUAUGGGAUUUCUGGACUGCUCGUCCGAGUCGAGUUCGGCUCCCACUUGUUUCAACCGCCAUGACCCUUGAGCUAUAUAAGCAGGCCCCGGUUCCGCUCUAGGAGCACAGCCUGCGACGUUCUCGCACUCAAUCAAAUUACUCAUCAGCGUCCAAGUUCGUCCGCUGGUGUACGCGCAGCUAGAGUAGACAUGGCCACCGCCGUGAACGAGCACGUCCUGCUCAGCCAUCCCGACAAGCUGGUCCUGCUCGCCGAGAUCCCGGCCGCAGACUCGUGCGGCUCGUCGUCACGUUCCGGCUGCUCGUCGAGCAAUGCAGCGACUACGGCGGCGGUCCCGUGGACGUCGACACGAUGGAGGACGUGUCCUGCCGCGUGCCGCUCCGCGACCUGGGCCGCCGGGGCGCCGCGGACCGGGUGUUCACAGACCUCGUGGCCAGGCUCGACAACCCGAUGAUACGCCCGGAGGUCGCGAUGGAGGCCAGGAGGGCGGCGGAGCGCGUCGGGGCGAGACGCGGCGCGCUCGACGAGCUCGGCGGCAUGGAGUUCCGCCUCCGCGUGGUGUUCGUCGACGAUGACGCGUCCGAGGAGCAGGCAGCGUCGGACGACGACGACGAUGAGAGCGGGAGCGACAUGGAGUUCGGGGAAUUCGACCUGAGCGGCGCGCGGAGCCUGCACGGCGAGCGGGCCGUCGCCGCGUACGAGGACGACGACGAUGACGAGGACGGCUGCGGCGCCCAGUUCACGGUGCGCCAGUACCGCGGCGCCCGCGCGGGGGAGGGAGCGAACCUGCUGCUGUCGGGCUUCGAGGCGCGCUCGGACGGCCCCGAGCUGACCGAGCAGCACGAGCUGACGUCGCAUGACAUGCACCGCCUCGUGCACCUGGCGCUGGAAGGGGGCGCGAGCAUGGAGGACGACGAGGCCUACCAGCGAGCGCUGGCCGGCGGCACGGCCGUGUCCCGGGCGUCGCGCGCCGCCAUGGUCGACCAGGCGCUGCAGUCCGCGAGCCAGCAGCAGCAAUCCAAGUCACCGAGCCCGAUCUUUCCGAUGCGUUCCGGAUUCUGAUGCCUGCCGGAUUGCAACAAACUUUCCUUUUUACGCGUCUUUUGGUUGGAAACCCCCACCGUGUAAAGUUGGAAUACUCUUUUCUUUUUGGUCAAGUUGUAAUUGGAAUACUCUUCUUGUGUGUAAUGGCUCGUGAAACCUAGCUCGAUCACACUGUAACUGUAUGACUAUCGAGUAACGACGUUUCUCCUGAGAGAACUGAGUACUGGCGUUCUUUUUUUCCAACCGGGCUCACACCCCUUUCCAUUAAUUUUGCAAUCAACGGAAAUACAUCAGUCUGUUUUCAACCAAGUCUGUUAAAGCACCAGGACGACUACUUUAACUAAAGGAGACUAAACCGAAGGACACGACUGACUGCAAAAGCAAAAUGAGACUGAAAGGGGGGAGCGAGCUGGUGCAUCACCAGGAAACCCACCGCAUGAUGAUCCUCGAGCGGAUCAUCCGCCAUGGGGCAAAAACCUGAUGACACAGUCAAGCCACUACCCAACUAAGGAUAACCGUUCCCAGGAAGAAACUACCAGUAUACCUCGACGACUAGCCAAAUAAGACCAGGAGACAAAGGUCCAGCGGGCAUCAAACCCCAGUGGAUGAUACGACCAAAAAAGGAGACCCAAGUAGCGAACCCCAGCUAACCAAUCUGGAUCCCAUCCCUGUCGCCCAAGAGAAGCCUGUCUUGAGAGAAGGGUCUGUCCGCCAGCGCAGCAGCCACGUGCCCCAGCCUCUUCACGCCAGCUUGGAAUUUCGCCUUGUCUUCAGCUUUGAGCAAACCUGCCCAAUACAACAUAAACGAGCAGGCAGUGAAAACAGCCUCCAGUGGAGUACGAGCUACAUAAUUGCCAAAGGUAACUUUAUUGCGGAGACACCAAAUCUCCCAACAUAUGGCAGCAGUGAUCAUCAUAUAGAAUUGAUCCCCUCCUGGAAAGAACCUAUAAAACCAGGCAAAGCUUUGCCAAAGAGAUCGGGGACAACAAGAAACCCCAACUGUCAUUCCCAGCACGCCCCAAACUGUGCGAGCAAGCGGGCAGGUAAAAAAUAAGUGGUUCGCAGUCUCUAUAUUUGUACAAAAGGAACACAUAGGAUUCCCAGGCCACUUCCGAUUGCGCAUAUUGUCUCGCGUUAACACAGCAUUCUGAAAUAACUGCCAUAAGAAGAUUUUGAUCUUCAACGGAACAGGGGCUUUCCAAACCCAAUUAUAAUUGGGACCAGCCAGGUUUCUUUCCAGCCAUUCAUACACCGAUUUAGUCGUAAAUUUCCCUUUACUACUAAAAGCCCAUGAAAUAGUAUCUGGGGCAUUAUUCAGCGAGAGCUUUUUAGCCUCCAUGACCAUCCAAGUCCACUGCUCGCCCAACACACCUGUCAAUCUGCGUCUGAAGUCUAAAUCAUAGCCCUUCGUUACCCAGGAUGCAAGAGUACUUUCCUGAUCAUGGCAAAUAUUGAACAGAUCAGGGAAUCGAUCUUUCAAAAUGGUGUUUUCUAUCCACAGAUCAUGCCAGACCCUAGUCAGAUCACCACUAUUGAUGAUGACUUUCCUACCAGCCAUAUAUGAGUCCUUGACUUUCAUGAUAGCUUUCCAGCAAGGGGAAUCAGAAACACGACCUCGUAUAUUGGCUAUUGUCUUGUUAUUAAAGUAUCUAGCUUUGACUAUACGCUGCCACAAGCCAUCGCUUGUUUCGAGCUUCCACCACCAUUUAACAAGUAAGGCAACAUUCUGUUUAUGAAGAUCCUUAAUACCCAGCCCCCCAAUUUUCUUAGAUCGACAAACUCUCGCCCAUUUAACCAUAUGAUAUCCAUGUUUCUUGUUCUUCCUCCUCCAAAAGAAUCGUCUACGAUAUUUAUCCAUUUUUUCAAUAAAGGUUUUAUUGAAAAGAAACAUCGACAUGAGAUAAGAUGGAAUCCCAUCAAGGUUGGAACUCAAUAAAGUGAGUCUAGCCCCGGAAGAAGCCGCGUAGGCCACCCAGGCAUCAAGCUCUUUAAUCAGUUUACCAUCGAGGAAAUCUAAAUCCGCAUUUUUAAGAGCGGAGUAUGUUACUGGGACCCCAAGGUAUUUCAUAGGUAAGGUGCCCACUUGGCAACCAAACAUAUCAGCGUAUACUAAAUCAAUAUCAUUAUCUCCUCCGAUACUAAGGAUCUCGCUUUUCUCAAAAUUGAUCUUCAAACCUCACAUGAGUUCAAAGAGAUAAAGCAAGAGCUUGACAUUGAUGGCUUUGUCGAUAUCGUGUUCAAAACAAAGUACCGUGUCAUCAGCGUACUGUAGGAUGCCCACCCCAUCCUCGAUAAGAUCAGCAGCUAACCCUUUAAUAAGACCAUUCUUUUGAGCUGUCAAUACCAUCUUAGUCAGGCAUUCAGCCGCAAGAUUAAAAAGAAAAGGGGAGUGAGGAUCGCCCUGUCUCACCCCCUUAGCACUUUGAAUAUAAGGUCCUACCUCGUCAUUUAUCUUAACGCUAACCGUACCAUUCAUAAGAAUUUGAGAAACCCACCCACACCACUUGGAGUUAAACCCACGUUUCACAUGACAAUCGAGUAAAAACUCCCAAUUAACCUUGUCAUAAGCUUUCUCAAAAUCAAGCUUAAGUACUACUCCCACUUGUUUUUUGAUAUGAGUAUAGUGCAAGAUCUCAUGCAAAGAUAAUAUGCCAUCAACUAUAUGUCUCCCUUUGAUGAAAGCAUUCUGUUGUAUACUGAACAACUUAUGCGCAUAUUUGCUAGCCCUAAUAUCCAUGGCUUUGGUGAGUAAUUUGUAAGGACAUCGCAACAAACAAAUGGGUCUAUAUUGCUGAAUUCUGUUGGCAUCUGAUGACUUGGGCAACAGAGUUAUAAUGCCAUAAUUCAAUCUCUGUACAUCAAGCUUGCCCUCAUAAAACCACUCAAACAUGCACAUUAGAACCGGGGAAACUACCUCCCAGCAAUGUUGAUAAAACUCAACAGGGAUGUCGUCCGGUCCAGGGGCACGGUUAGAUUUCAUGUCAAACAAAGCCUUUUUUAUCUCCUCAAGCGAGAAAGGACGGGUCAAGUCAUCAUUUUCAUCAGGAGUAUUUUUUUCUUCCCGAGACCAUAACGUUGCAUCUAUCUGACAGAGGUUGCCAGGAGCCGGUCCAAAGAGGUUUUUAUAAUAUUCAGUAGCAUGAGCUAAUAAGUUUUUGGUUCCUUCUAUGGUCACUGAUCCGCACUCAAGGGAUAUCAUGGAAUUUUUCCUACGACGCCCAUUGGCUACCUUAUGGAAGAAAUCAGUGUUAUUGUCCCCUUUCAAAAGCCACCUCUCAUUAGAGAAUUGGUGCCAAUGAAGCUCCUCUUCAACAUACAUCUCAUUAAGUUCAACCAGGAUGUCAAGUUUCCUGGUGUAGGCUUCCCCACAUAGACCAACCUCCUCCUCUAGUUUUUCCAGUUCUUGAAGCUCAAGCUUAAUAAUCCUCUUUCUAAUUUUGUUAUGACCAAAUAGAUUAGAUCCCCAUCCUUUAAAGAAUUUUUUGAACCUCUUCAGCUUAAUGUUCAAAGAAUCGAUGGGAUUGAUAGUAUAAACUGGCCUUGACCAUAUCUCAGAUACCAGGGGAAGGAAAUCUGGAUUCUUAAGCCAGGCAUUAUCAAAUCUAAAACACCUAUUACCUGGUGUUCUAGAAGAGGCUCUCCCUCCAUCCAAAAGUAGGGGGUUGUGAUCAGAAAUUUCCUUGACCAACUUACUUACUGAUGCAAGGGGGUAUAGAUCUUCCCAUUCAGGAGACAUAAGGACUCUAUCCAAUUUUUCCAAAGUUGGGUUUUCCUGUUUAUUGGACCAGGUAUAACAACCACCUGACAUGUGAAUUUCUCUCAACCCAAGCAGGUGUAUGACAGAAUUGAACACUUCAAAGAAGUGAGAUAUGGCUGUUUUUUUAUUCUUCUCUCCACUGUGAGGAAUGAUAUUAAAGUCCCCCCCCCCCAACCAGAUAUGGCAUGUUAGUAUUAUGGCACAUAUAAGACAGCUCUGCGAUGAAUUCAGGUUUAUGAUCAUCAUGAGCAGCACCAUAUACAAUCAUCAAAGACCAACUACAGUUUUUGAUCUUAUCAAACAGAUCUAACUGCAAGAUAUAUUUACCAUGCCUAGUUGUAAGUAUAUCAAAGUUAUCUCUACUAAUCCCACAAAGAAUCCCUCCAGACUUUCCCCUAGAAGGGAUCCAUUCCCAAUGAAACUUCUGUCUCAGGUCAAGCUUCCUAAAAAAGGAUGGCUUAUAUGUCCCUUUCAUAGUCUCUUGUAACCCAAUAAAAUCAAUCCCGUUGGCACUAAUCAUAUCCAUGAGACACGUAGACAUGCCUUUCUUACCUGCCCCCUGCAAUUCCAAAAAAUGCCUUUCAUUUAUAUCGUUCGGGUUUAUCCCUAAACCUGGUAGGUCUGCCAGGGUCCAUAGCAGCCCUACCCUCUCCUUUUUUCAUUUGACUUCUUGUCAUAGGCCUAACAGAUUUAUUAGGGGAUAUAGUCACUACUGAUCUUUUGCGGUAAUUUUUCUUUUUCUUUUGUCUAGACUGAACAAGGAUAAAAGGUUCCUCAUUAUCCUUAUUGUCCUCAUCCCAAGUUAAAGAGAGAGGUACAUCAUUACCCAUCCCAUCAUUGAUAGUUAUCUUAUGGGGAUUCACAUCAUUAUUUUUAUCAUGCAAAAGAUUUCUAGAAAGUUCAAGUUCACGAAGAAUAUCUAUAGCAGCAAAAUUAUCAUCUGGAAUUUGCACCCCCAUUAAUGAGGCACGCGGUAUAAUGGCGGAAUCAGACAAAACAGAAAACUAGUUUUUUGAGCUUGGUAUUUUCAUACCUUCAGCGUCUCGCUUCCUCAUCCUGUUGGUGGCCACCUCCUCUACUUUUUCCAGUUUCUGCAUCUGUCUACGUGGGGCAUAUUCCUCAUAGAUCAUUUUAUCAUGAGUUGGUGACCCAGAUGGGGGCUCAACUGUAUAAGUGCUACAGUUUUCUCCCCCUUCCAUAGACCCUUCCUCGAGAGGAACAAUACGAGGCACGGAUGGCCAUGUGACAUAAUCUGCCAAAGGAGAAAUAAUACCCCCAUAAGUUGUAUCAUCAUACUGAAGAUAAAGAGGUGAGGGGGGAACAGGAGUCAAAAUUCCCCAAGCACCUUUACGACCAUCAACAUCAUGGGUGGGAGAUCCAGUUAUCUCAUCCUUUUCCAUCUCAUCAUGGAUUUUUUCACAAGUAACAUUCUCAUUUUGAGGAUCACGAUAUGACAUUUUUUCAUUAGCAUGUUCUCUAGCCAUGGUUUCGAUAAGCAACUGCGUAUGAUUGCCCUCAUCACUUUCCUCUUCUUCUUCACUCUCAGCAACAGCAGCCAACCUCUGCCCCCCCCCUUGUCAUAGUUCUGGGAUGAAUAAGUACCAACCAUGGAAGCACUUGUUCCCCCUUUGCCCAGUAGAGUCAGCAGGAUAAGAUUCCAUCCUUGCUUUCUUGGGGAAGGAAGGAGAUGCACUGCUAUCAACCGCAAUGGAGGACUGGGUUUUGUUAGCCCCUGAUGUUACCAUUUUCUCAACUUCAUAAAAGAAGUCAUAAUAUUGCUCACGAAGCAUUCCUUCAGCCGAGGGGGGAAUUCUCUCCACCUCUCUGCACCCAAGUAAAAUUCUGACAUAUUCAGGCUUAUGUAUAGUAGAUUCAUCAACCUCCAGUGUUAUCCCCACCAGAGCCCCAGCAUAAGCUGCAUGUUCAGUACACCUUUUUUCUAUAGGAAUGUUGCGAACCCUCACCCAAGCUUUUUCCAAUAUUCCUUUGGCCCCUAUAGAUGCAGUCCAGGGUGUAAUGCAAACCACAACAGCCCCCUCCAUCAAAGGCAUACGUUUCCCAUAACAACAUGCCCUCUCAACCUCACUAGCAUAAGGAAAACGCAUCACAAACUUAUUAGGGCCAAUGGAACGAGCCGUACAUUGCCAUUUCUUCUUACCAGGCUUUUUUGCAAAGAUGGCAUUAAAUUCAUGUUCAAUCUCUUUCACAGAUGCAACCCCCUCCACAAUAGUGAUCACUACGUUGUUAGUUUUUUCUACACUCUGCUUAGCGGCGCACAUAUCAGGAAUAUAGAAAAAACCCUGGCCAGGUGACUGGAAUCCGCACAUGAAUGGAACACAUUCCCAAGGCCUCAGAGUUUGACAUAAUUGAGCCAUAUGACCUAGCUUGUUGCAUUUCUCACAGCGGAUAGUAGGGCAGCAAGGAGCGAAAUGACCUGAGAGGGAGCAGUUGAUGCAGAUCUCGUUGGUGCUUUUGGUUGCAGCUUGCCCAGUCGAUGGAGGUGGAGGUGGGGGAUGUGGAGGUGGCUCCUUGGCACCUGUCGUCGUCUCCUUGGCCGCUCCGCUCAUGGCCCGCGCGGCGGCUUCCCAUCUGUCCCCGACCUCGCCACCGCCAGAUCUCGAACUACCAGUCGCCGGUGGUGGUGGAUCUGGCCGCUGCCAAACCAUAUGACGAGGCUGAUUUGGCAGCGGAGCCUUGCGUCCCCCGCCGAAUCUGCCCCGCGCCAUGUUGUCCCGCCACCCUCCGGAUCUCCCCCCACCGCGCUCCCCCAUCGCUUCUCGCCGCGCACCACCGGUCCGCUCCGCCGCAGCUACCUGGGCGAAGGAGCGGUCGUCUCCGCCGGCCUUGCCGCGCCACCAGCCGAAGGAUUCGUGCGGGGGGUAGUUGGGAGGGCAAACCCUAGCACGCUCCCACAGAUGCCCGAAGAGGAAGGCGAGAUGCGCGUCUCGUGCGCUCGUGGUGGCGGUAGGUGGGGAAAAUGGUGUGUUUCCCCCCGCCUCCCCGGCUCCAUAUGGUUUCGCCCCAGGGUCGGGGUGGGGUCCCCCAUGGUGAUCUGUUCCCACGUGUCGCCCAUCCGCCAUUGAUGGGCGGUGGGUAGGGCUCUGGACACCCUCGACACGGGUCGGUGCGCAUGCCUGAUGGCCUGCCCGUCUCCCGUGUACCGCGCCUCGAUCUGGCCCGUAUGCUGCGCUCGCAGGAGAUGACCACGUCGCCGAUAAUCGCUCCCGUAUCAUCGCAAAAUGACACGGCAGAGAGAUGACGUCGCCGAUGUCGAUGUGUUCCCCAACGCGGAGAAACCGCGCGUCAACCGUAACCCCGCGCUCGUCGAUCAACACGAGGCGGAGCGCGUCUCGGCGUAGAAUCAACUCGCGGUCAUGGAACGUGAGCGUAUGCAUCUGAAGAUCGGCGGCGUAUAGUACGCGCCAUCGCUCGUCAGACGUGUGAGACGUGCGAGACGAGGAUGCCAUCCCGUAGCGCUAGUCGUAGAAACACCUAGCAUAGCCGAUUAGUUUCACCCAUCGUAGUAGUAGUUGGCACUUGAUCGAGCCAUUGAAGUUCAAUUAUUUUCUUUGCAGGAAAAAAAAGGUGGCUGCUUCUUACUCCCUCCCUUCACAAAUAUAAGAUGUUUAGACUUUCUCUAAGUCAGAUGUAUAUAGACACAUUUUAGCGUGCUUGUUCACUCAUUUCAACGCACGUAGUUCAUAUUAAAAGGGAGCACAUGCUCCCAUGAGCCGAAUUGAAUUUCCGAUAUUAAAAUAUCAAAACAACCUAUAUUUGCAAACGGAGAAAGUAUCAAUUACCUUAUCUUGCCUACAGAGACAAUAUUAUAUGUGUAUUGCAUCAUCCGUUGAAAAUUUUCAUGUUUUUACACUACGCACUUGCAAAACUAUCGCAAUAGACCCUCAAGAAGAGACUGAGGUAAGCUAUCGAAGUGUGAGAGGUGGCGUACACUCAAGUAUGACAGGAAACGAAUCAAGAGUGACAAGAUACAUAAGCUGCCUAGGAGACAAGUGAAAACUUUCAGAAGAAAUGAAGCUGCAAACAGCAUAGAUUUUAGAAUACGACAUGCACUGUUUAUACAAACUGACUAGAUUACAUUUCUGGCAACUGUUAUAUCGCCAGUAAAGAAAGGUCGGCACAAUAACAACUUGGAAAACCUGUAAACCUCACACAGCACCAAAAGCAUCAUCACUACAGAUUGUAUACACGCAAAACAAAACAGCAUAGAGACCCGGUUGCAGUGGAUUCCGAAAUAUACAUGGCACACUGAACUAACGGAAAAGGGCGAAAGUCUAAGAAAGCAGAGAACUGCGUCAACCGCUUCAGUACCACACUAGCACUACGUUGGGGUGGGGUUGAGCUUGAGCAGACUGAUGUCCAUCUGACAGCUACAGUUGCAUCUUUGUAUAACCAGCGAGACCUGCAUGCAGAAAGCUCUUUUAGUCAGGUAAAUUUCUGCAGAACAUGUCAAACAUAAAAAUUAUCAGAAAUGCCAUCAAGUAAAAACCUUUAUUCACUCAUUGUGGACCAAUGUGUUACUACACUAGUCACCUAACUGCUUUUGGUAAUUGGAAAAUUUCUGUAGUUAUUCAAUACUGAAAUGUAACCUUAUAAAACUUCACAAAAGAGGAUCUUAGAAGUCAUGACUUAAAGAGGUGCGUCUUUUGUUAUUUACACGAAUAUAAACAUAAAUAAAUGGUUAAAGAUCACUAGGGUUAAAGGAUUUAGUAAUGCAACUGCCAACGACCGGAGUAGAUCUAUUUCCACAUGACGACGUUCUACCAAAUAAAAGGAGAUUGCAAAUAAUGUAGGAAUUGUUCGACAAGGUCAUGUGAGAACAAUCAUCCAACUUUUCAGCAAGGUUUCGAGUAGCUAUUCAAGUCAAUAUGCCCAUAUAUCAAACUACAUUAGGGCUUUGCAGUGCCCAAUAUUGAGACAUUACCUUGGUAUUUACACAACUAACUUCGACUCAAGUGCGGCCGCAACAUUUGCAUCUCCAAGGUCCUGUUUUCAUUACAUAAAGCUCAUCAUCUCAUAUCAUGUAACACACAUUAUAUAAAAUGGAGUUUGAGAGUACCUCCAUCCCCCAUUUGAUGUAGUCAGGUGAUUCGCAAGCCUUGUAUUCGUCAACCAGGCCCUCUAUAAUUUCUCGAGAUUCGUCGAAUUCAGAGAGAUCAUUGUCCUGCAUAUUGUGGCCAGACAGAUGAUCAGCAUAUAAGGAAUAAGCUUCCCACAAUAAUAUGUGGUACUCCAGGGUAUGUCAUAAGAAAAUCACAUAGGUGGUUAUGUUACUGGAGGAAAAUAAUAUAGCUUCGAUUUCCAGUCAGCAUUACAUAAAACUGCUAGCAAAGUGUCUUUGUUCUGUGUUAUCAAACAGGCUUUUGAUCUUCAACAAUAACAUCAAGAGUUUCAGGUGCAAAGUAUUCAUAAAUUCCACAAGCCUUAGAACAUUCAUACCAACUUAAAAGCAAACAAAUUCUAAACAACUACUCCCUCCGUCCCAUAAUAUAAGAACGUUUUGACACUGCACUAGUGUCAAAAAGGGUCUUAUAUUGGGACGGAGGGAGUAAGAAAUAAAUGAAGAAAUAUAGUGUUCUUACCGCAAACAUCGGGAACUUCCUGUAGUUGUCAAGAAAGGCUUGCUUUUUCCUCAGCUUUUCAUACUGCCCCAGACAUUUGCUGAAUAAGUGACGGAUGCUAGUAUGAUUUGCUAACAUCAAACCACUAACCUGUGGCAAAACAUUGUUUAUUAGAAUGCUAGCAUUAAAAAAAUGCACCCUCGGUUCCCAAAUGUAAGACAUUUUUGCAGUUCAUCACAAGAAAGAUCACUUUACCCUGUGGGUGGUUUGAACAUAUGGUGAUUUUCUUGACAAUGCAACCUGUAGCAAUUGAGAUGCUCAUAAAUUAAAGUGUCAAGAAGCUAAACUGAAAUUUACUCUAGUUCGGUGCUCACCUGAAUGCUUGCAGGUCCCCACUCUACGAAGUUAACAAGCUUCCUUUCACGUAUCCUUUGUAGGCUCUCAUGGACCUAAAUACAUGAGAUGACCAAAGUUAAGCACUGAAGAAUAGAUAAAUCAACAGGAUACAUAAAAACCAUCAUUAAGCUCCAGUUAAUUGCUACUGAGCAAUAAAUACCUAGUAUGUAAUAUGUACAGCAAUAUAUUUACAAAAAGGGAUGCAUGUACUCCCUCUGUAAAGAAAUAUAAGAGUGUUUAGAUUACUACUUUAGUGAUCUAAACGCUCUUAUAUUUCUUUACGGAGGGAAUACGUGCUAUUUUCACCUCUUGCAGGAUAAACAAGAGCCUCUGAGGGAUAAGUAAAUACAAUUGUUAUUAUGGCUCAAUGUCAUGAUGAAAAUCUACAGUGCUACAUGUUUUUUAGGAACUUCUGAUAUAUUGAAGUGGACAAACAGGGUUUGCUUCCUAUGAAUAAGGCGAUGUGUAGUGCAAAGCCAAAGACAUAAAAUUUUACCUUUUUGACUGUUUUAUGUGAAUGCAUAGUGCCACAAUUGGCAAUAUCAUAAUUAAGUUGGCAUACAUAAGCAGUGAACGAGUAAAUCUAUUUGACAGAACUGUACCUGUGUUGGGUCCACCUCUCCUUGAAUGAUGUUAAGUAUGGAGAUGUAUUUAGCCUGACUAGCUUCCUUGGUACGAGCGUAAGAUGACACCAUUAUGUUCUUCGUCUGCAAGAUAGAAUAGAUAAAAGGUUCAAACUCAUGAAGACAAAGGAGAUUAGGAAGCAACCUGGGGCAGGGGUAACAUUACCUGCAGAAGUCGUCUCAUAACAUCUAAUACCGUCGUCUUGCGUAUCAUGUUAACCUGCGGUGGCACACAUACUCAAAUCAGGUCAAGCAUUUAUCACCAAAAAAGGCGGAAAACAAAAAUGUAGCAAGUCUGACACAAAUACACUGGCCCUAAAUUUCAGCCAAUGCAACUAGAAAGUUAAUAAGUACAGAAGACGUAAAUUCAAAAUGUAACAACUGGGGAAGCAAAGUUACCUGUCGUUCGACGGUCAAUGGAGUAUAACCUGUCAUAAGAAAAUGGCACCUUGGAGUAGGAAUCAAGGAGGCAAGAAGGCCAGCCAGAUCAUUAUUCAUAUAUCCAGGAUACCUCAGGGUGGUUGUGCUUGCAGACAUAACAGUGGAAACCAAAGAGUUUGUUUGUGCAAAAGUAGGAUUUGCUAAAUGAAGACGUUCAACAGCAAUUCUGUUAAGAGCCGUAUUGUCAAGAACAACCACACAGUCAGCAUUCAGUGUCAGCCGCUUCAGAGUUAAAAGGGAGUUGUAUGGUUGGACAACAACAUCACUCGUUUCCAUCUGGUUUGGAAAGACACUAUAUGUCUGUACAAGCUUCUUACUGUAUCGAUCAUUUAGGGUCUCCAGCACAUAAGAACCCAUACCUGAACAAGGGCAACAUGGACUGCAUUAGACAAUUAAAUAAAAUACUAGUACAUAGUGAACAACAUGAUAGACACUCUUGCAAUACAUCUAUUAACAAAGAACUAAGAAGGAAUGAUAAAGUGAAAAGGGAGGAAUCAAACUACGAGAGCCAGUUACCUGAACCAGUUCCACCAGCAAUGGAGUGGCAUAAAACAAAACCCUCAAGGCUAUCACUUCCAUCUGCUUCUCGAUCUACCAUGUCCAUGAUAUCAUCAACGACUUGUUCGCCCUAAAAUUUAAGAAUAGGAUAAAGCAUUAAUCUAAAAGGUCUACUGGUAUCUGAAAUGCAAAAUGCAGAAUUGGCUUAUGGACAUGACACAAUAGAAAACCUGUACUGUUUGUAAGCUUAUAGUAACAAUUAUAAGUCUACUGGAUGAAAACCAAGACACAGAGAUGCAACUGCACCUGAUGAUAUCCACUAGCCCAAUUGUUUCCGGCACCACCACCAUGCUCAGACAAAUAUAUAUUCUCGUGGUUGAAUAGGUUCUUGUACUCGCUGUUCUGUAUUCCAUUGAUCACUCUUGGUUCUAGAUCCAUAAGAAGAGCCCUGGGUAUGUAGUGCUGAUCAUCCGCCUGGUAGAAAAAAACAUCCUUCCUGUCUCCUCCCUGCAGAGAAAACAUCUCUAUGACUCAUCUUAACCCAGCUACAAGCAUAGGCAAGAUACAUGGAAGCAACAGAUGAUGCAUCCAUUGAUUUUGUACAAAAACAGAAGUACUUGGAUACCAGGUUCACUCUGGCAUAAUCAAGCAUCUAUGACCCUCGUGUUAACCCAGCUACCAGCAUAGACACCAUAAAUGAAAACAGCAGAUGAUGCAUCAAUUAAUUUCGAACAAAAAUAUAAGUAGCAAAAUACUUGGAUACCAGGUUCACUUUCUGGCAUAAUCAAGACGCAUUCUCGCCAAAGUAUUUCUCAAGGUUCUCAGAUGCUGUUCCCGUUGGGUUUGGUAUGACUUAUAUGUACACUCAUAUGUACCAAAUAGCUUUCUUGUGACUGAAGACGCCCUGCAUUUAACAUGCAUUUUGGCACUGUGCCUUGUUCAUGAAUAACAAAAUUCCCUGAAGAAACGACUGUUACACUCCAAAUCAAAACUAACAGCAGCUAUUGUGUUGACUGAAAUCUAUUAAGGUUCGCCUUUUAGGGUGAAAUUGUUAAAUUACAAUACUAGCACUUAAGUUACAGGCCUAUCAGGUUGAGAAACGUAACCACGCGCCAUUUGACUAAACCCUGAAACUCAUGUACUAAAACACCGUGCCCCAACGAGGAACAGAUCGAACACACCGCGGCGCUCGCUGAACCAAAGCAAACCAGCGGCGGAAAAAAGGCCACCACCGAGCGAGCGAUAGCGUCGAGCCGCCGGAUCGGGCGGCGAAGAGGGAGAGAGGGAGCAAGGGGAAGGCGUGCGGCGAGGGCGAGGGCGGACCUGCGUGGCGAAGUCCUCGAGGAGGCCGUCCUUGCCGAUGCCGUGCUCGAGGCAGAGCUGCUUCCAGAACUCCAUCCCGAUCUGGUUCCCGCAUUGCCCCACCUGUAUCGUGAUGAUCUCGCGCGGCAUCUCGUCGUCCUCCUCCUGCUCCGGCGGCGGCGGAUGCCGCGGUUAGGGUUACCGCCUCGUGGGCGACGGGGAGGGCGGUGGCGGAGGCGGAGGGGGUCGUGGGGCUCGGCCGGCGGCGCGUGUGGUCUAGGGUUUUGGGGUUGCUUCGUUUGGGCGUAAGGGCUGGCUGAGCCGUCCACCAACUGCGAGUGCCCUGGAGUGGAGUCGCUGGAGGGAAGUGGUGUGGUGGGGGGUGGAAGCGGGAGGUGACGAGACGGAGAAACAGGAAGGGGAGACGGGGUUUCGGGGAUGGAAGUGGAACAAAAUGCGAGAAUGCGCGCAAAUUUCGAAUUUUCAGGUGCGCCGGAUUCGUGCGAUUUUUUCGGCAGAGUAUAAUGGGAAAAGGUGGAUAUCGAUUCAUAUACCUUUUUCUUCAUCAUUACUACUCCCUCUAUUCCAAUUUACUCGUCGUGUUUUAGUUCAAACCGAGGGAGUAGUAUAUAAUAAUCAAAGUCCAUUUUCCUGGUCCUUUGGAUCUAGAUCCAAUGGUCAUCAUCUUCCUCCUAUCCCACUCAGCGGGCGGGCUUUUUGCCCACGAGCCGCAUUGCUACCGCAUAGCAUCACUGCCUACCUCGAUCAAACCCCUGCCACUAUCGAUCAUAUCGCCGCAUGCUCAUCUCUCUAAUCUCAACCCAAGGUUUGUUCUCUGCCACCGGUGAGCUACUAGCAUUAACCCCUACCUCCUACAUCGACAAAGUCCCAUUCCUCAACCACCAAUGUUUGUUGUUGUCAUGUUGUCGGUUAUUUAGCAUGGCUACCAUAACCACUUUGGUGAGGUCUCAUUCAUUAGCCUCACCACCAUCAUUGUUGUCGUGCAAUUGGCAGCUCUGUCUUGCAAUUCAACGACAUCUGAGAAUGAGGUUGCCUAUGUUUAAGAAAAACUUAGCCGGCUGGCUGAAGAAUUGAUCAGGAGAAAAUGGUCGCAUUGUUGGGAUAAAUGAUUGCAUUGCCUCGCUUUAUUUUUGUCCUAUAACACUGGUUUGUCCUCUCUAUUAGGUACUCCCUCCAUUUUUAUUUAGUUCGCAUAUUAGCUUUGGUCAAAGUUAAGCUUUACAAACUUGGACCAAGUUUAUAAACAAAAUAUUAAGAUAUACAAUAACAAAUCAACAAUAUUAGAUUUAUUAUUGAAUGUACUUUUAUAUCGUAUAGAUUUAUUAUGUUAACAAAUUUGAUCAAACUUUACAAAGUUUGACUUCAGUCAAUUCUAAUAUGCAAAGUAAAUAAAAACAGAGGGAGUACAAACUUCUAUUGAUGAAUGGACGAUACUUACAAAAGCCUCUUUUGUGUUUUUAUAACCUCUUUUCUUGGUGUAAUGACAUUUAUCUUACCUGUCAUUUUAAUUUAAGGUAAAUAUAUAUUUUUGCAAGUAAAUCAAUUAGGGACAGCUUACGGAGUCUUUUUUUAAAGUAAAUAUUAGUAAUUACUCGCUCCGUCCCAUAAUAUAAGAACGUUUAAAAAACAUUCUUAUAUUAUGAGACAGAGGGAGUAUGUUUUACAAAUCAAGUCCACUUGUUAUAACUUUUUUUUGUAAUCAUUGGAUAUUUUUCGAACAUUUUAGUACUUAUGGCACGACAACUUGCACCAAAUCUGCAUCCAAAAAACUGGAGUUUAUAUGGCAGUACUUAAGACAGCAGAGUUUGGAGUCCUUCAACCUGCAAACUUCUUUUCAGACAUCAUCCUGCUGAACUGAGCAGUCUUAAAAUACAUCGCGGCGACAACGCCGAUUAUUUGAAGAACCCUGGCUAGACUUACAACUCAAUAGGUGAAACAACAAAGAAAUGAAGGCAACAAGAACCAAAUCACCACCCCAUGACUAAUAAUAAUAUCUGAACACGCUACAAAAUGUGUAACUAUAUUUUCCCUGGGCACCAUGAUGUGGCACCAGCAGGCUGCAAAAGCUCCUUGUCAGGCUAGGGUUGCCGAUCUCGUUGCGGGGAAGACAGCAGGCUCGUGAUGAAACUAAGGACCUUCAAGAGCGGCUGGGGUGGAUGAUUUGGCUCACGCUCCUGCCCGUCUUUAGGCUGCAACUGGUUCAUUUACAGAAUGAGAGACACCUGAAUUAACCUGUUGGGAAAGAAAGCAUGGCUUACAGCUGUUCAGAGUCAUGGCCCGAGAAUUUUUCUAAGCGGCUGAAUAGUGAACACAUCGAUCUGUACCUUGGCCGCUUUGAAGAGUUCGUCGAGCACUUCGGA
rnacentral:lncRNA from 1 species